rnacentral:lncRNA from 1 species
CGCCCCCUUUCUCCUCUCCUCUUGGAUCAGCUGCAAGCAAGAAAGAAAAAGAUCCAUGGUGGUCUCCUUCUUCCUCCUCCGUUUGGGAUUCAACGCAAGGAAAGAAAAGGCUGCAUCUAGCUUUUUGGAUCUUCUUCCUUGAUCCUUUCAUCUUCUUCCUCCUCCCUCUAGCAUUCAAGAGUUGAAAGAAAGGGAGGUGAUCAGCCAUCAAAACCAAUCUCUGCAAGGGAGCUAGCACCCCGGGGAGAUUAGAGCGAUUGGAUCGGUCCUCUGCUUCGUGUGGAUACCCGUAGAGGCCGGGCACUUGAACAGCUUCAAGCGAACCUUCAUCCUAAACCACGAACUUCAGUUUGCGGUGAUCAUCUACCCGCACAAGGUGAAGAUCUGAUCUUCUAAAU